rnacentral:rRNA from 1 species
AUUGAACGCUGGCGGCAGGCCUAACACAUGCAAGUCGAGCGAGCGGCGGACGGGUGAGUAAGGUCUGGGAAACUGACUGAUGGAGGGGGAUAAAUAAUGGAAACGGUAGCUAAAACCGCAUACAAACAGAUGGGAACAGAUGGGAUUAGCGUGUAGGUGGGGUAACGGCUCACCUAGGCGACGAUCCCUAGCUGGUCUGAGAGGAUGACCAGCCACACUGGAACUGGACCACGGUCCAGCCUCCUACGGUGGGCAGCAGUGGGGAAUAUUGCACAAUGGGCGCAAGCCUGAUGCAGCCAUGCCGCGUGUGUGAAGAAGGCCUUCGGGUUGUAAAGCACUUUCAGCGGGGAGGCGUUACCCACAGAAGAAGCACCGGCUAACUCCGUGCCAGCAGCCGCGGUAAUUC